GCAACAAAAUGGCUUCUCCGAUCAUCAAAACGAUGACAGUGCUUACAAGACCCUUGUAGAAUGCCUGUUGGUGAAUGGGAAGGUGUCUUCACACAUACAGCAGAAACAGAAGCCUUCACAUCCAAUGUGGUAUUUCGACAAGCGGGUCCGGAGUCUGUUGUUGGCAGUGUCUAAUCAAGCAUACUCCCUUUGCUUCGAUAUGCUUUACCGCCUUGUAGAAGUAGCGGUACUUGAACAUGUCAAAGUUGUGUGUACAGCAGUGGGGAAGGAAGGAGGUCUUGCAUCUUUGAGGAGCACCUGUUCUGUAUUCUUGGAGCCAUACAGUUAGGUGAUGCCAUAUCUACAAGCUUUGAUCCAGUUCAUUGUUAAAUUCAGGAAUCAGCCAAAACCUUUACCAAACCUCAGUAGGAGAUACUUCACAUCUUAGUGACACUUCUUGUGAGUAGUUCUGUUUCCAUAGUAACCAUGGAACAUUCCGAUUCAGGAAAAAUGGACCAUGACGUGAAGGCCAGUGAUUCCGAAGUUGCCCAUGCGAACUAUUCUCCGUCCCACGUGUCCAACAUCAUAUCGCAGAUGAUCAAUGACAGUGAACCUGAGGACACAGCCUCUCCGCGUGGUGAUGGGGAGGUCGAGACCGAGAUCAUCGAUGACACUGGUACCAAGUGUCACGUGUGUACCGUCUGCCAGAAGAUCUUCUACAAGCCGUAUCUCCUUCGGGUGCAUAUGGUC